AGAGUUUGAUCCUGGCUCAGGACAAACGCUGGCGGCGUGCCUAACACAUGCAAGUCGAACGGACCCUUCGGGGUCAGUGGCAGACGGGUGAGUAACACGUAGGUAAUGUACCUUCUCGCUGGGGAUACCUACCCGAAAGGGUGGUUAAUACCGAAUGGUCUCAUACUGCGGCAUCGCGGUGUGAGUAAAGUGUUUAGCGCGGGAGGAUCAGCCUGCGGGCCAUCAGCUGGUUGGUGGGGUAACGGCCUACCAAGGCAUCGACGGUUAGCCGGUCUGAGAGGAUGAUCGGCCACACUGGAACUGAGACACGGUCCAGACUCCUACGGGAGGCAGCAGUGAGGAAUAUUGCGCAAUGGGCGGAAGCCUGACGCAGCGACGCCGCGUGAGGGAUGAAGGUUUUCGGAUCGUAAACCUCUGUUAAGCAGGGAAGAGAACGGACGGUACCUGCUGAGGAAGCAUCGGCUUACUACGUGCCAGCAGCCGCGGUAAUACGUAGGAUGCGAGCGUUGUCCGGAUUUACUGGGCGUAAAGAGCUUGUAGGCGGGAAUGCACGUCUUGGAUGAAAUUGCACGGCUUAACCGUGCAGCUAUUUGAGAUACGGUAUUUCUUGAGGGCAGAAGAGGAGAACGGAAUUCCCAGUGUAGCGGUGAAAUGCGUAGAUAUUGGGAAGAACACCGGCGGCGAAGGCGGUUCUCUGGUCUGUCACUGACGCUAAAGAGCGAAGGCGUGGGUAGCGAACGGGAUUAGAUACCCCGGUAGUCCACGCGGUAAACGAUGGAUACUAAGUGUAUGGAGUAUUGGCCCUCUUAUGUGCCGCAGCUAACGCA
rnacentral:rRNA from 1 species